ensembl:lncRNA
CAAUCUCAUAGCGGACUCCCCGGUGUUGCCCUUAUGAUCUCCCCACUCCCUCUUCAGUGUUCUGUGAGCCUUAGGUGUGGGACUUGUUUUGUAAAUGUAUCUACCGGGACUGACUGCACUCCACACCCUGACACUCUUUCCUCUACUUUUACUCAGAAUAUUUAUUUUGAAAUUCUCAUUUUAUUUCACAGGAUGGAUAUCCCAUUGAGUACUUAUUCACCUACUGAUAUAUGUUUGAGUUGUGUCCAGUUUCUUGCGCAUCAUAAUAAAGCCGUGUGUAAACCCAUGGUUAUGCUGGGAGCCCUAGAUAUUCUGUUCAUGCUGAUGUCUUACCUGAGGAUCUGGAAACCUGCUUUCCUGAAGCUUCUCUCGCCAUUCCCAGAUGUUAUCCUUGUUCAGCCACACAAUGAGAUGUCACAGACAUCUACUCUUUGACCAAGAGAAUGAGUUUUUGCUGAGAAAGAAGCCUAAUGAGAAGAGUGGGAAGGUCACUUCUGCUUUACUGGUGGAUUUGGACUGUCUCCAUGCUUCAACUGGGCUCUCCUGUGGUCACGUUUACUUCUUGCUGUGACUGAAAUAUCCCAAAGAACAACCUCAAGGAGAAAGGACUUAUUUGGGUUCACAGUUUCAGAGCAUUCAGUCCAUGGUUGUCUGACCCCAUGUGUUUGGGACGAACAUCAAGGGAUGGUUAGAGUACUGGGAGCACAGGGGAAAGUUGUUGACCUUGUAAACAGGGAGCAGAGAGUAAGACAAGAUUGGGGUGGGGAUGGGGCAUGGGAUAGGGCCAGGGAAAAUGCAACCAUGCUGCAAAUGGCUUACUUUCUUCAUCUAAGCCCCACACCCUUAAGUUUCCAUAACAUCACCAAAUAAUGUCAGCAAAUGGGGACCAAGCAUUAGACACAUGUACCUGUGUGGGAUAUGUAAACCAUAUCCAACCCUGUCAGACAUAUGGGUAAUACACCUCACAGGAGCAUCUAUUUUUAUGUAUGAUUGUCGUUAAGGCUCCAGUUAGGACCUAUUGAGAUUUUCUUACUCUCCUCCCUUAUAGAUAGAAUUAUGCAAUCAUCCCAUGCCCUGUUCUCAUGAGCAACAUCAGGCAUUCCUUACGAAGUUGGUCUGUAAAUCAAAAGCCUGGCAAUGGUUUUAGGGAUUUCCUAGAUAGCUUGUUGGGCCAGGCAGGAGAUUCAGCAGUCCAUCCUCCACGAGCUUCUCUUGGUUAUUUCAAAGAGACUUCAGUGCUGAUGGUGAAAUGUCUGUGAGAAAUUUCUAUGUGUAAGGCACACUCCUCAGAAUCAUAAAGGGACAUAGAGAAGGACAGCGAAAGCCCUUGACUUCAGCACAUUAUGACCAGGAAUCCAGGUCACAAACAUGAAAUUAAACAAUGAACUAAGGGUCUUGUAUGAACACAAAGAGCAAAGUCCCAGAGAUGUUCCAGAGCAGGGUGUAGUUAAGAAUUGGGUUAACUCAACAUACCUAACCUUUUCUAGGAAAACGAAGGCAUCUACUACCGUCUAACACAGCCUUUGUAUUCAUUCUCUCUCAAAGGCAAAGCCAGAUUUUAUGUCCCACCCUAUGGAAUUCAUGAUUUGUUUUCCAGCCAAAACACAGAAACAGAGCGGUGCUUAUUAUUUUAUUUAUCCAAACAAAGAGUUGAUGCAACUAGAUUAGAUAGUUUAAUUUCCUAGGAAAAGUUUCACUGAGUCACUGAGCCAUAUAGAACAGCACACUGCUGUGUGUCUUAAGAAGUCCAGAAACAACACGUAGUGGCAAAAUCAUAAAAUAAAAUAAAAUAAAAUAAAAAUAAUAAAAUAAUA